CCUACGGGUGACAGCAGUGGGGAAUAUUGCACAAUGGGGGGAACCCUGAUGCAGCAACGCCGCGUGGGUGAAGAAGUACUCCGGUAUGUAAAGCCCUGUCAGCAGGGAAGAAAAUGACGGUACCUGACCAAGAAGCCCCGGCUAACUACGUGCCAGCAGCCGCGGUAAUACGUAGGGGGCAAGCGUUAUCCGGAUUUACUGGGUGUAAAGGGAGCGUAGACGGCAAGGCAAGUCAGAUGUGAAAUCUGGAGGCUCAACCUCCAAAUUGCAUUUGAAACUGUUUUUCUUGAGUACUGGAGAGGCAGACGGAAUUCCUUGUGUAGCGGUGAAAUGCGUAGAUAUAAGGAGGAACACCAGUGGCGAAGGCGGUCUGCUGGACAGCAACUGACGGUGAGGCGCGAAAGCGUGGGGAGCAAACAGGAUUAGAUACCCCUGUAGUC
rnacentral:rRNA from 1 species